rnacentral:rRNA from 2 species
GUUAUAUGGUCAAGUGAAGAAGCGCAUACGGUGGAUGCCUUGGCAGUCAGAGGCGAUGAAAGACGUGGUAGCCUGCGAAAAGCUUCGGGGAGUCGGCAAACAGACUUUGAUCCGGAGAUGUCUGAAUGGGGGAACCCAGCCAUCAUAAGAUGGUUAUCUUGUACUGAAUACAUAGGUGCAAGAGGCGAACCAGGGGAACUGAAACAUCUAAGUACCCUGAGGAAAAGAAAUCAACCGAGAUUCCCUUAGUAGUGGCGAGCGAACGGGGACUAGCCCUUAAGUGGCUUUGAGAUUAGCGGAACGCUCUGGAAAGUGCGGCCAUAGUGGGUGAUAGCCCUGUACGCGAAAAUCUCUUAGUCAUGAAAUCGAGUAGGACGGAGCACGAGAAACUUUGUCUGAAUAUGGGGGGACCAUCCUCCAAGGCUAAAUACUACUGACUGACCGAUAGUGAACUAGUACCGUGAGGGAAAGGCGAAAAGAACCCCGGAGAGGGGAGUGAAAUAGAUCCUGAAACCGUAUGCGUACAAGCAGUGGGAGCAGACUUUGUUCUGUGACUGCGUACCUUUUGUAUAAUGGGUCAGCGACUUAUUUUCAGUGGCGAGCUUAACCGAAUAGGGGAGGCGUAGCGAAAGCGAGUCUUAAUAGGGCGUCUAGUCGCUGGGAAUAGACCCGAAACCGGGCGAUCUAUCCAUGGGCAGGUUGAAGGUUGGGUAACACUAACUGGAGGACCGAACCGACUACCGUUGAAAAGUUAGCGGAUGACCUGUGGAUCGGAGUGAAAGGCUAAUCAAGCUCGGAGAUAGCUGGUUCUCCUCGAAAGCUAUUUAGGUAGCGCCUCAUGUAUCACUGUAGGGGGUAGAGCACUGUUUCGGCUAGGGGGUCAUCCCGACUUACCAAACCGAUGCAAACUCCGAAUACCUACAAGUGCCGAGCAUGGGAGACACACGGCGGGUGCUAACGUCCGUCGUGAAAAGGGAAACAACCCAGACCGUCAGCUAAGGUCCCAAAGUUAUGGUUAAGUGGGAAACGAUGUGGGAAGGCUUAGACAGCUAGGAGGUUGGCUUAGAAGCAGCCACCCUUUAAAGAAAGCGUAAUAGCUCACUAGUCGAGUCGGCCUGCGCGGAAGAUGUAACGGGGCUCAAACCAUACACCGAAGCUACGGGUAUCACGUAAGUGAUGCGGUAGAGGAGCGUUCUGUAAGCCUGUGAAGGUGAGUUGAGAAGCUUGCUGGAGGUAUCAGAAGUGCGAAUGCUGACAUGAGUAACGACAAUGGGUGUGAAAAACACCCACGCCGAAAGACCAAGGUUUCCUGCGCAACGUUAAUCGACGCAGGGUUAGUCGGUCCCUAAGGCGAGGCUGAAAAGCGUAGUCGAUGGAAAACAGGUUAAUAUUCCUGUACUUCUGGUUAUUGCGAUGGAGGGACGGAGAAGGCUAGGCCAGCUUGGCGUUGGUUGUCCAAGUUUAAGGUGGUAGGCUGAGAUCUUAGGUAAAUCCGGGAUCUUAAGGCCGAGAGCUGAUGACGAGUGUUCUUUUAGAACACGAAGUGGUUGAUGCCAUGCUUCCAAGAAAAGCUUCUAAGCUUCAGGUAACCAGGAACCGUACCCCAAACCGACACAGGUGGUUGGGUAGAGAAUACCAAGGCGCUUGAGAGAACUCGGGUGAAGGAACUAGGCAAAAUGGCACCGUAACUUCGGGAGAAGGUGCGCCGGUGAGGGUGAAGGACUUGCUCCGUAAGCCCAUGCCGGUCGAAGAUACCAGGCCGCUGCGACUGUUUAUUAAAAACACAGCACUCUGCAAACACGAAAGUGGACGUAUAGGGUGUGACGCCUGCCCGGUGCCGGAAGGUUAAUUGAUGGGGUUAGCUAACGCGAAGCUCUUGAUCGAAGCCCCGGUAAACGGCGGCCGUAACUAUAACGGUCCUAAGGUAGCGAAAUUCCUUGUCGGGUAAGUUCCGACCUGCACGAAUGGCGUAACGAUGGCGGCGCUGUCUCCACCCGAGACUCAGUGAAAUUGAAAUCGCUGUGAAGAUGCAGUGUAUCCGCGGCUAGACGGAAAGACCCCGUGAACCUUUACUAUAGCUUUGCACUGGACUUUGAAUUUGCUUGUGUAGGAUAGGUGGGAGGCUUUGAAGCGUGGACGCCAGUCUGCGUGGAGCCAUCCUUGAAAUACCACCCUGGCAACUUUGAGGUUCUAACUCAGGUCCGUUAUCCGGAUCGAGGACAGUGUAUGGUGGGUAGUUUGACUGGGGCGGUCUCCUCCUAAAGAGUAACGGAGGAGUACGAAGGUGCGCUCAGACCGGUCGGAAAUCGGUCGUAGAGUAUAAAGGCAAAAGCGCGCUUGACUGCGAGACAGACACGUCGAGCAGGUACGAAAGUAGGUCUUAGUGAUCCGGUGGUUCUGUAUGGAAGGGCCAUCGCUCAACGGAUAAAAGGUACUCCGGGGAUAACAGGCUGAUACCGCCCAAGAGUUCAUAUCGACGGCGGUGUUUGGCACCUCGAUGUCGGCUCAUCACAUCCUGGGGCUGAAGCCGGUCCCAAGGGUAUGGCUGUUCGCCAUUUAAAGUGGUACGCGAGCUGGGUUUAGAACGUCGUGAGACAGUUCGGUCCCUAUCUGCCGUGGACGUUUGAGAUUUGAGAGGGGCUGCUCCUAGUACGAGAGGACCGGAGUGGACGAACCUCUGGUGUUCCGGUUGUCACGCCAGUGGCAUUGCCGGGUAGCUAUGUUCGGAAUAGAUAACCGCUGAAAGCAUCUAAGCGGGAAACUAGCCUCAAGAUGAGAUCUCACUGGAACCUUGAGUUCCCUGAAGGGCCGUCGAAGACUACGACGUUGAUAGGUUGGGUGUGUAAGCGCUGUGAGGCGUUGAGCUAACCAAUACUAAUUGCCCGUGAGGCUUGACCAUAUAACACCCAAGCAAUU